rnacentral:tRNA from 2 species
UCCGCGGUAGCUCAGUGGUAGAGCAGUUGGCUGUUAACCAAUUGGUCGCAAGUUCGAAUCUCGCCCCCGGAGCCA